UGCAUUCAGAGCCUGAGAGGAUGAGAACCUCCGGGGGAAGAGGUUCGACUCGAGCGGAGCGAGAGAACGUUGCGUCAGCAACGGCCCGCAGGGCGAGCCACGACGUGGCGAAUUAUCCUCGAUCACCGACCA
rnacentral:sRNA from 1 species